rnacentral:rRNA from 1 species
CACCGGCGGCUCGAGUGGUAACCGUUAUUAUUUGGUCUAAAGGGUCUGUAGCCGGCCGGAUAAGUCUCUUGAGAAAUCUGGCAGCUUAACUGUCAGGCUUUCAGGAGAUACUGUCUGGCUCGAGGCCGGGAGAGGUGAGAGGUACUUCAGGGGUAGGGGUGAAAUCUUGUAAUCCUUGAAGGACCACCAGUGGCGAAGGCGUCUCACCAGAACGGACCUGACGGCAAGGGACGAAAGCUAGGGGCACGAACCGG